rfam:Pseudomonas resinovorans NBRC 106553 DNA, complete geonome.
GGGUCGUUAGCUCAGUCGGUAGAGCAGUUGGCUUUUAACCAAUUGGUCGUAGGUUCGAAUCCUACACGACCCA